GCCAGACUCCUACGGGAGGCAGCAGUAGGGAAUCUUUCACAAUAGGCGAAAGCCUGAUGGAGCAACGCCGCGUGCAGGAUGAAGGCCCUCGGGUUGUAAACUGCUUUUAUAAGCGAGAAAUAUGAUGGUAACUUAUGAAUAAGGAUCGGCUAACUACGUGCCAGCAGCCGCGGUAAUACGUAGGGGGCAAGCGUUAUCCGGAUUCACUGGGUGUAAAGGGAGCGUAGACGGCGACGCAAGUCUGGAGUGAAAGCCCGGGGCCCAACCCCGGGACUGCUCUGGAAACUGCGUCGCUGGAGUACGGGAGGGGCAGGCGGAAUUCCUGGUGUAGCGGUGAAAUGCGUAGAUAUCAGGAGGAACACCGGCGGCGAAGGCGGCCUGCUGGACCGUGACUGACGUUGAGGCUCGAGAGCGUGGGGAGCAAACAGGAUUAGAUACCCUAGUACC
rnacentral:rRNA from 1 species